UACGUAGGGGGCAAGCGUUGUCCGGAAUCAUUGGGCGUAAAGAGCGCGUAGGCGGCCCUGUAAGUCCGCUGUGAAAGUCAAGGGCUCAACCCUUGGAUGCCGGUGGAUACUGCAGGGCUAGAGUCCGGAAGAGGCGAGUGGAAUUCCUGGUGUAGCGGUGAAAUGCGCAGAUAUCAGGAGGAACACCGGUGGCGAAGGCGGGUUGCUGGGCUGACACUGACGCUGAGGCGCGAAAGCCAGGGGAGCAAACGGG
rnacentral:rRNA from 1 species